AUCAGCAAGAAGCAGAGUUACUUGUUCCCCACACUCCUGUGUCUCUCCACCAAAGGUAAGGGUUUUGAGAGCCCCCCAGGGGCCAGAAGGAGGGUUGGACAGGGCUGGGGCUGCUGUGAGGGUCCCAUGGGCACAGCAUGUCCCCCUACCAGAGCCAGCUUCUGAGCUGUGGGAGCUCUGACCUCUCAAGUUUCUGGCUCUUAUUGGAGGUCUGACAGCUCCUACUAGGCUCUCAGGAGCCAGCUGGAUUUUGGGUUGUGAUCUCCUUUUGGGGGUUAGAUGACCACAGCCCUGGUUCUGAGGCCUUUUCACACCCCCAGUUCUGCCCCAGCCCUGCUUGGGGAGUAGAGAGAACCCAACUCCCUUGGGGAAUAGAACCAGGGGCACAGUCCAGUCCAGACUCUUUGUCAGCCCCAUCUGUCACUCCACAGAGCUCCUCAAAAUGCCACAAGUGCAACCUGACGCCUCUUUCUGGUAUUUUCCAGAGGUGGUGGCCAUCUGGGAUGUCGUGUCUGCCUACAUUCUAGGACAGAUGAAGCUGGACAAGGGUGUUCUUGUCCCAGGUCUUGGGACCUUUGCUGUGGUCCCAGAGCAAAUCAACAGCACAGAAGAGGUGUAUGUGGUUCGAAGACCUGUGUUCCAGCUGGACAUGGACAUGUCCUGUCUACAGGAGCUGGUGUUCCCAACUGUGAUGAUCCCUGGUGACAUCGUGAUCAUGCCACUGGAUUACUGGUGGCUGUCCCAGACCAAUUCCCUCUCGCCUGACGUGGUGAGGGGCUGUGUGGAGGAGACCAUUCUCUUGUACUCCUUCCAGCUGAGGGACAGGCAGCGCCCUGCAUUCACCUUUGAGAAUAUUGGCAUCCUGUCCUGCCAGGACAAUGUCCUGUGCAUGCAAUUCCACUGCAGCUGCAUUGCAGCACUGGAGAGUCAGGACACCUGGGUGGCUCUGCUGCUCACGAGGCUAAGUAUACCAGGUUCUGGUGUCAACAAUGGAGUGACCACUGCUCAGGGGGUGCAGGCUGCACAGGCCCACAUGUUCCCCAGGUUUCAGCUUACUGUGUCUGAUGCUUUUUCCACCCAAUAUACAAAGGCUGCAGAGAAACACAGGGUCAGAACAGGGGAGCAAGAGCAUCCUGGAAAGUUUUCCCUCCUUGUGCUGCCAUACCAGAGGCCAGGCACAAGGCAGCAAGAGCCAAGGUCAAAGCCACCUGCCAGGUAUUCAGCAUUGGAGAUGCUUGGGCUCCACACCGUCCAUCCCAGCCCCCACGAAAGGGGGUCACUGUGAGGUGGGGGACAGCUGGAACCCCCCUCCCCACAGAGAAAAUCGCAGAGAGAUUCCAGCCUGGGUCCAGACAUCUUUCCCCACGAGCCAUCCAGGUGCUACAUGGGCUGGAGCCACAUCAGACACGGAGGAACAUCUUCAUGUUUUUGGCUGAGAACAACCGGCGGCGGCAGGAGCAGCAAAGGCAGUUCUGCAGGUAACUCCACAGGACUGGAAUUUUGUGUGUUCCUGCUGAGGCAGCUCUGGGGGACAGAAGUGGGAUCUGGAGGCUGCUGUGGGCUGGACUCCCCUAGCACCCACCUGGACACCCAGCAUUGGCUUCCCAUGCAGGACAGAAAAGUCCUGGCUGAAGACAGAGGGACCUUGAUGGCAGGACGUCCCCUUCCCAGACUUGAGAGCAUGUCCUUCCCUGGCAGAGUCCUACCCCACAAUACCUUGUCCUGAGUGGGGACACCUAUAUGCGACACCCAAGGUCUCAGCCCAACCUGGCUUUGCCUCAGCUGCACCAGGGACCUUCUCAUGGUCUGGGAAAUCACCAGAGGCAUCUGCAUGGCCACCUUGAUGUGAUCUGAUGGCCUGAGCCAAUCCUGCAGAAAUUCUCUGCCUUCUGCCCGCCUGUUUGAUUGGACCUCUCUCCCUCUCUCCUUCUCACCUCAGCUCCAGGUGCUGGUCCAGCACAUGAAGGGCUGGGGCUGGAGCUGUGGCUGCAGCAGAGGCUGCUGGUGAUGGGGCUGGGAGGCUGCUCACCUGCUGAGGUCCACCUGUGGAUACAAAAUAAAUACCUCUGUUCCCACCUGACUGAGUGGUC